UGAAACACAGUUAAGUUGAGCUGGAAUUGUUCGUGAAGUCUUACCGAAACUGCGAUCUGGCAAUUUUCCAGCAUAGCUGCACUGAUAUAAUUAUCCCUGUUUUCUCCCUGCUACUCACUGAUAUCGCAUUUGGUUCACUGCUCACAAUACUUCCACAGUCAUCUCUCAAGUGCAUGACUUACUAAAUGCUACAUCAUCGUCAUGUGAAGUAAAUAAACGAUUUUACGUCUUCUGUCCUUACGUCUCCGGGUGGCUUCAUCGUGCCUGAAAAUAGUUUACCCGUAUGGAGAACAAGGGCCACUAGAAGAUACGUGAAACAGAUUAUCAAAGAACUAAUGGAUAGGUGAUUUUUAACAUCCUCGCGUUCCUUGGUCAUUGAAGCAUGCCCAGAGCUUACAGUGACAGGAGACUGGUGGUGCUUACCAGCCCCAGCUCAGGAACCUGGGUCGACAAGCCCGUACUCAGUAAACGAAUGCUGAGCCCCUGAAGGGACAUUUCACCUGUGAUAUGUAGGCUGGCAAUGUAUUGCAGCGUAUCAUUGAUGGAGGAUAAAAUAUUGCACCUCUUAAUAAUCAGUUCUCCUUUGGGAGGUGACUGCUUCAAGAUGACUGAACCAGCAUCACUAAAACGUGAAGAUUUUUAUUGCAUCGUGCAUAACGAUUUUGUGGUGGGUGAAAGGGCUGAUGUCACAGCCACUGCCAGGAAUGUGACUCACAGGAACAAGACCAUAUCAAUCAUUUCAGCACUUUGAGAAGGACUCAAUAUUGAAAAUUAUGGAGACAAUAGUUUAAGAACUCCACAGACCUGGGUGCAAAUCUUCCUCAUGCAAGUGUAUUGUAAUUCGAGGUUUGGGUGAUUUAUGUCUGGAGCUUUUGUAGGUAUGAGACAAUAUUCAUGAGCAAAUAAAGGUUUCAACUAUA